rnacentral:sRNA from 1 species
UUGAUAGCCCAGGAGAAGGAAGUCUUCUUCAUCACAGAAUAGCUACAGUGUGGGAAGCAGCAGUGGAAGAUUUCCUCAUCCUGCCCUGCCAUUGUGCCUCAGUCCUGACCUGAAGGGACCCCUUCUAGGGGUGAAAAGGGAGUCCAGUGCUCCAUUCAUUCUUUGACUUCU